AAUCAACGCUGGCGGCGUGCCUAACACAUGCAAGUCGAACGCGAAAGCCCCGCAAGGGGUAAGUAGAGUGGCAAACGGGUGAGUAACACGUGGGUGACCUGCCCUCGAGUGGGGGAUAACGUCCCGAAAGGGACGCUAAUACCGCAUAAUAUGCCGCCUUUUAAGAGGUGGACAUCAAAGCUGGGGAUCGCAAGACCUAGCGCUUGAAGAGGGGCCCGCGCCUGAUUAGCUAGUUGGGGGGUAAUGGCUCACCAAGGCAACGAUCAGUAUCCGGCCUGAGAGGGCGGACGGACACACUGGGACUGAGACACGGCCCAGACUCCUACGGGAGGCAGCAGUGGGGAAUUGUUCGCAAUGGGCGCAAGCCUGACGAC
rnacentral:rRNA from 1 species